rnacentral:rRNA from 1 species
AGAGCGAACGCUGGCGGCGUGCUUAACACAUGCAAGUCGAACGAGGGCUGUAGCAAUACAGCUACUCGUGGCGAACGGGUGCGUAACACGUGGAUAACCUUCCUUGAGGUGGGGAAUAACCCAGUGAAAUUAGGGCUAAUACCGCAUAACAUGACGAUGCCGCAUGGCGUUGUCUUCAAAGGCGCGAAGUCGCCACAAGAGGGAUCCGCGGCCGAUUAGCUUGUUGGCGAGGUAAUGGCUCACCAAGGCAAUGAUCGGUA